rnacentral:rRNA from 1 species
UAGGGAAUCUUCCGCAAUGGACGCAAGUCUGACGGAGCAACGCCGCGUGAGUGAAGAAGGAUUUCGGUUCGUAAAACUCUGUUGUCAGAGAAGAACAGCGCAUAGAGUAACUGUUAUGCGUGUGACGGUAUCUAACCAGAAAGCCACGGCUAACUACGUGCCAGCAGCCGCGGUAAUACGUAGGUGGCAAGCGUUGUCCGGAUUUAUUGGGCGUAAAGCGAGCGCAGGCGGUCAAUUAAGUCUGAUGUGAAAGCCCCCGGCUCAACCAGUGUAGGAUUUGGAAACUGGUUAACUUGAGUGCAGAAGGGGAGGGUGGAAUUCCAUUUGUGGCGGUGAAAUGCUAAGAUAUAUGGAGGAACACCAGUGGCGAAGGCGACUCUCUGGUCUGUAACUGACGCUGAGGCUCGAAAGCAUGGGUAGCAAACAGG